rnacentral:rRNA from 1 species
UACGUAGGGUGCGAGCGUUAAUCGGAAUUACUGGGCGUAAAGCGUGCGCAGGCGGCGCGUUAAGACAGGUGUGAAAGCCCCGAGCUUAACUUGGGAAUUGCGCUUGUGACUGGCGUGCUGGAGUGUGGCAGAGGGAGGUGGAAUUCCAGGUGUAGCGGUGAAAUGCGUAGAUAUCUGGAGGAACACCGGUGGCGAAGGCGGCGUUCUGGACUGCAACUGACACUGAGGAACGAAAGCCAGGGGAGCAAACGGG